rnacentral:rRNA from 1 species
GACGAACGCUGGCGGCGUGCCUAAUACAUGCAAGUAGAACGCUGAAGAGAGGAGCUUGCUCUUCUUGGAUGAGUUGCGAACGGGUGAGUAACGCGUAGGUAACCUGCCUUGUAUCGGGGGAUAACUAUUGGAAACGAUAGCUAAUACCGCAUAACAAUGGAUGACACAUGUCAUUUAUUUGAAAGGGGCAAUUGCUCCACUACAAGAUGGACCUGCGUUGUAUUAGCUAGUAGGUGAGGUAAUGGCUCACCUAGGCGACGAUACAUAGCCGACCUUAGAGGAAGAUCGGCCACACUGGGUCUGAGACCCGGCCCAGAUGGCUACGAGAGGGAGCAGUAGGGAAUCUUCGGCAAUGGGGGCAACCCUGACCGAGCAACGCUGCGUGAGUAAAGAAGAUUUUCGGAUCGUAAAGCUCUGUUGUCAGUCAAGAACGGGUGUGAGGGUGGAAAUUUCACGAUGGGAGGGUAGCUUACCAGAAAGGGACGGCUAGGUACGUG